GACUGUACUGGUAAUAUAGGUCAGUCACGAAGAAUAGAAUAUGUAUUGGACUGUACUGGUAAUAUAGGUCAGUCACGAAAAAUGAAAUAUAUAUUGGACUGUACUGGUAAUAUAGGUCGGUCACGAAAAAUAUAAUGAUAUUGGACUGUACUGGUAAUAGAGGUCAGUCAAAAAAAAGAAAUAUAUAUUGGACUGUACUGGUAAUAUAGGUCAGUCACGAAAAUAUCUGAAAGUCUGUGCCCCAUUGUUGACGAAUAUAAUAUCGUGAGGACUUUAUCAAUAGUCACGGUCCCUGGCCCCUCCCACAUAAAAAUCAUUAGCAAGGUCACUGCAGGCAAUAGCGUCAGCAUUGUUAUUGUAUAAACAUGUCUUAAACAUUAUAAACGGCCCUAUUUGUGGGGUUACAUUGGGUUCUUGCUGGGGUAAUGAUGUCCAUGUCCGAUUCUGCGUUUUGUGGACUUGUAAAUCAGUCCAGCAGUGACAUUGCGUUUUGUGGACAUGUAAGUCUGUCCCGCAGUACCAAGUUUCACCCCAGCAAUUACCAAUAAGACCUGCACGUGACCUUAAAGUAAAGAGCUAUGCAAGUGUGGUCGAGACAAAACGCGAUGUAUGCAUUGGAAGAAGGAAAUCUGCGAAGAGUAGCUGGAACUGUCUGUCCAGCUCUCGUUUAUGAAACGAUGGGCGAUUUGAAAGACGUCUCCUGAACAGAUCGCCCAUUGUUCACUGAAGCAGCAUUCGAAUUGUCUCCACUUUUUUCAGGUGGAUUGCUCCAUCUCGUGUGGUUUGGCUGUCCCGUCCCAAGAAUCGAGCCAACGCGACCGAGGCCACUUCUGAAAGAUAAAUAUUCAGGAUGCCAGCUGAUUUGUGGAACACAAUUUAGGCCAGUAGUCAAGAGCCAUGAUCCGGGAACAGCAGUUCCCAACGGAACUGACCAUUUUCUUGUUGUAAUUCAUGCUGUUGGCUCAGAAUGGGUUGGCACACACCUGUUUUCGACCCUGAAAAUUAAACAUCGAACAUUAUUACUCUUUGUUAAAAGUGAACCUUGCAAAAUAUGUGCUUAUUCCUGAAAUCAAUAGCACUUCAUGUAUGUACUCGCUGAUCCAGAAUAUUGCUAUUUCUUGUUCCGUUUUCAAAGUGGCAAUCCAUUUACCGUAUCUGAGCUAUUUCACAGCACAAGAAGUGCAACAUUACAACAAUAGAGCUAUUUCUUGAUCACAGCAAAAAAUGUGUUUCUACAUUGUUUUACUCAAAUGAUGCAUGGAUGAGCCUUAUUGACAUAUUUGUUUUCAAGAGGAAUUGGUUGUAGGUUUUCUUUCUUUUUUCUUAAGGCAGGCCUAAUUUAACAGAAGGCCUAUAUUUUAGGUAGGAUAUUAUUUAUACUAUAGGCCCAUAUCAGUUUUGAGA